rnacentral:rRNA from 1 species
CUACGGGUUGCACCAGUUAGGAAUUUUGCGCAAUGGACGAAAGUCUGACGCAGCGACGUCGCGUGUAGGAUGACGGCCCUCGGGUUGUAAACUACUUUUAUUUCAACAUAUGUUGUUUUGAAUAAGCACCUACUAACUACGUGCCAGCAGUCGCGGUAAUACGUAGGGUGCAAGCGUUACCCGGUUUUAUUGGGCGUAAAGGGUCUGUAGGCGGCCUUUUAAGUCUUGUUUCAAAGCCCCCGGCUCAACCGGAGAAAGGGGCAGGAUACUAGAAGACUAGAGUGAUAUCGGAGUUACUGGAAUUUAUAGUGUAGGGGUUAAAUCCGUGGAUACUAUAAAGAACACCAAGCGCGAAGGCGGGUAACUAGGUAUAUACUGACGCUGAAAGACGAAAGCUAGGGUAGCAAAUCGGAUUAGAUACCCCCGUAGUC